UGGCGGCGUGCAUAACACAUUCAAGUCGAACGGACGAAGCCCUUCGGGCCUAGUAGUGGCGGACGGGUGAGUAACGCGUGAGCAACCUGCCCUUAUGUGGGGGAGUAACGACCGGAAACGGUCGCUAAUACCGCAUGACCCGAUAGUAUCGCAUGAUACAGUCGGCAAAGAUUUAUUGCAUAAGGAUGGGCUCGCGUCUGAUUAGGCAGUUGGUGAGGCAACGGCUCACCAAACCGACGAUCAGUAGCCGGACUGAGAGGUUGAACGGCCACAUUGGAACUGAGAUACGGUCCAGACUCCUACGGGAGGCAGCAGUGGGGAAUAUUGGGCAAUGGAACGAAAGUCUGACCCAGCGACGCCGCGUGAGGGAAGAAGGUCUUCGGAUUGUAAACCUUAAACAACAGGGACGAAGAAGUGACGGUACCUGUUAGGAAGCCACGGCUAACUACGUGCCAGCAGCGGC
rnacentral:rRNA from 1 species